UUACUUCCAGGUUACGUGAAGCUGGAGCGACGUGUUCCAUGAUGGCCGAGGACCCUGGCGGCUCUCACUUUCUUUUUCUCCCGCUCCUUUCAUUCCCCUUUGGUCUGUAGCCAUGGCCCGGACCGACCUUCCCUCACCCAGAGUCUGUGUGACGUCCACCCGUACCGAGCCGCAGCCAUGCCCCGGAGAGGGAACAGAAAACGGCUGAAGUAUCGGGCCGAUGACCUGAGCGCCCACAGAGUUACAGUGGCAGAUUUUGCCAAUUCAGAUCCAGCUGUUGUGAAGACUGGACGUGUGAGAAAGGCAGUGGCCAAUGCUGUUCAGAAAGAAGUAAAAGCUCUUUGUGGCCUGGAAGCCUCUCAAGUUCCCAGUGAAGAUGGUUUGUCCGUAUUGUCCGAGAAUGGACAGAAUGGGAGCAGUGAUGAAGGAGAGGAAAAUGAAAAUACAAAUGGAACCUCUUCCAGAAAAAAGAAAAGCAAGAAGCAAAAAGAAAGCUGCGCCCCAGACAGCACCGGAGGGGACUAUCCUAUUGAUAUCUGGCUUGUGCUGGCCUCCUACAUCCGACCUGAAGAUGUUGUGACGUUUGCUCUUAUUUGUAAGAAAGCUUGGACCGUUACUUGCACUGCUGUCUUUUGGAUGAGAUUGUACAAAAGACACUACCAGACAAGCGCCUAUCUUCCUGUUCGUUUGCUCCCUGGCUGCAUGUACAGGCUGCGUUCUCUGCGUGCUUGUGUUAUCCGCUCAUUGUUUCACACAUACGAGCCGUUUUGUUCCAGGUUGGCUAAAAACCCUUCAUUACCUGAAUCAACGCCGAACACUUUGUUAAAUUCCAAAUGUUUACUUUUCUGGUGUAAAAAAGUGGAGGCUGGAAGCAGACCUGAGGCAUUGUGGGAAUUUAACUUCAAGUUAAAAAAGCUGCCUCCAAAGCAGAAGAACCAUUGCCUUAAUGGACUCCAACCCCCUGCAGAGUACAAAGAAGUCCAUUUUAACCCGGACCAGGACUGUUGCCUACUUCAAGUUAAUACAUUAAAUUUUAUUUUUAUCCCUGUGGUUAUGGGCAUGACACUAACUUAUUUGACCAUAAAUGUCAGUACCGAUAUGAGGCACCACCGCGUAAGAUUGCUCUUCCAAGACUGCCCAGUGUUAAAUGGCAAGAAACCUCGUGGAGAUCAAGGAGUGCAGAUUGUUUUGGAUCCUGUGCACAGUGUCCAUCUCCUUGACUGGUGGCAUCCAAAAUAUCCCUUCUCAACCAUGGCCUAGUGUUGGAUAAAUGUAUUUUCUGGGAUAUUCCAGGAGAAAUAACGAAAAACUUACACUGAUAGCUCUGGUCAGAAGUGUAUCAAAUAUUGCAAUCUUAUUGAAUACGUGCUAAGAAGGGUAUUUCUGGCUACAUUUCUGCUAUACAUUGAGGCAGCGGAAGAUUAUAAAGACCUGUUAAACAGUUGGCCCCAGUGACUGAUGUCCUUACUGCUGAACGAUGAAGAAUGAACACUGGAUGAUAACGUUACAGAAGGUGUUCUACCCAGCCUUGGUCAUUAUUGGGAUCCCAUCAAAUCUACUAACUUUCUUGAUUUUCUGGAGAAGAAAUUGUGGACUUUCACCCUCUUGUCGUUGUUACAUGAUGGCAAUGGCUGUGGCUGAUACAAUGGUCCUCAUCGAGAUCGUCAUUCUUGAGUUAAUCCUGAAGUAUUAUACUAUAGAGCCCUUCUGGAGUAGAGAGCCUUGGUGCAUGAUCCGGGAUGUGCUCAAUUAUGGCGCUUACAACACUUCCGUCUGGCUUGUUGUCUGCUUUACCAUUGAGCGAUUUGUCGCUAUCCGAGCUGUCUGUGUCAAGCCCAAGAUGUGUACUAGAAGAUACACACUCUACCUUAUUGCGACUGUCUUCUUCUGUGGCCACUUGAUGUCUGUUCCAUAUUUUUGGUCAAAUGAGUCAAAGCCACUGAAUGGGACUAAUGGAUUCAUAUGUGUUUACAGUGCUCGAAUGCCAAAGCUCUACGUGGAUGGUUUGGUAUGGUUUCAGAACACUCUCGUAUACAUCAUACCAUUCAUUAUCAUCUUUACUCUCAAUGGGUUCAUUUUAAAACAGAUCAGUCAAAGCAACAAAGUGCACACUGAAAUGCAGCAAAACCGCAAGAGUUUUUCAGCAUUUGUUAUGGUGAAGAAGCAGCGGGUAAAGUCCAUGGUGCUAUUGGUGACCAUUUCCAUGACCUUUUCCUAUCUGUGUUCUACACGAUUUGUUACCCAAAUUCUUAUCAAAACAGUGCACUAUAAAAUAGAUAGAGCAGACUAUAGCCAAAGCAUUAACAUUGCUGCAGAUAUCGGCACCAUGCUUGACCUCACCAAUACUGCAGUCAACAUGUAUCUCUAUGCUUGUACACAGUCAAGAUUCCGGAAAGAGAUUAUACAGAUGGCAAAAUGUUUGACAGUCCCUUGUAAACAUGACAAAUUGCAAACUAAUAUUCCUGUCAUAUCUCGCAUGUUGACCUAGAACCAAAGAAUUCUGUGUCAUCCACACAAAACAAAGCUGCCUCUAAUUCCUUUUGUUUUAAGAAACCCCUCCAACUUUUAUUUUAGCAGCUUCUUAUGUCUUACUUUAAGCAGUAGUGUUAGUAUAAACAGAGGCUUUGAAAUGGUCUUUAAAAAGUUCCGCCAGCUAGUGUUGUUCUGAUUUGUGCCAUUACAUUGAGUUUUUUUUAGUUACAAUGAUAAAAGUGUACCUUCAGCCAAAAUAAAAAUCUUUACCCUGGGUUUUUGUAUGAGCAUGUUCUUUGGGUUCUACUU